CAUUAGAUUUUCCACGGAUUUUCCAUUGAAAUAUUGCGUAUUGAAAUACACCCGGAGGUGAUUUCGACGCGGAUAAUUAGUCGUGAAGGAGGUGGGGCUGAUGAUGCGGAAGUACUGGCUGAUUUUAUAGCUCAUUGAGAGUGAAAUUCACGUCUUCAAAAGUCAUUGGAGCGAUCAAAUAUUUUUUAAAGCUUGAGAAAAUUAUAAUUACCCACUACUCACUCAUCAUGGUGAAGACAAUGUAUAUAAUUUAUCUCAAGGGAAUAAACGCACUAUUCUCGAUUGGAAUACUUCAGCAAAUCGUUAGGGACGAAAACCACGUAAUGCUAUUUUUCUAAAGGCCGUGUUUAGCAACACCACCCGUUUCAUCGCUUUUACCCGUACGAGGUCUCGGAUUGUUGCUGGAAUUACGAAAUUGUGGAUAAAAAAAAAUUCCACUCGACUGAAUUAAAUUCCACUAUUUUUAAAACUACUUCACCUGAAUUUCUGGCAUAGAAAAAAAAUCGAAUUAAAAUUCUUUUACGCCUUAGUAUAUUUUACUCAGGAGUCUCACACCGAAAAAAAAAAUCUCUCAGUUGAAAUAAUAACUAUUUUCGAUUUUGUAUGGAAGCUGACAAUAAUAGCAAUAAAAGCUGGGAAUGAAAAGCAGCACCUACCUUUCAAUAUCCACACAACAACAAAUUUUCCCCAACAAAAUGCACAAAAAAUCGCAAACAAAAUAUGCAAAAAAAAUGCAACCAAAAAAAUGCUCAAACACAAAUGGAUAAAGUGUCUGAAUAACUGGAGUAGGAUGCAGGUAAACUCCUCAGAAGCCACAAAAAAAAUAGCAAAUACAAGCCGAAAAUACUCACCUAAUGAAC